rnacentral:rRNA from 1 species
CCAGACUCCUACGGGAGGCAGCAGUGGGGAAUAUUGCACAAUGGGGGAAACCCUGAUGCAGCGACGCCGCGUGAGCGAUGAAGUAUUUCGGUAUGUAAAGCUCUAUCAGCAGGGAAGAAAAUGACGGUACCUGACUAAGAAGCCCCGGCUAACUACGUGCCAGCAGCCGCGGUAAUACGUAGGGGGCAAGCGUUAUCCGGAUUUACUGGGUGUAAAGGGAGCGUAGACGGUCCUGCAAGCCAGAUGUGAAAGCCCGGGGCUCAACCCCGGGACUGCAUUUGGAACUGUAAGGCUGGAGUGCGGGAGGGGCAGGCGGAAUUCCUGGUGUAGCGGUGAAAUGCGUAGAUAUCAGGAGGAACACCGGCGGCGAAGGCGGCCUGCUGGACCGCGACUGACGUUGAGGCUCGAAAGCGUGGGGAGCAAACAGGAUUAGAUACCCCAGUA